GCCAAAAGAAACUAAUUUAGGAAGAGUAUUGUUGAGAACAACUUUAAAGAAGUUAUUUUUUCUGUUCCCAGCCUAAUUUCUUGCUGCCCAGGAGUACCACUGCUGUGUGAAUCACAUACCCGGGCUCUUGGUCCUUCUGCAAACAGCAACCUGUUUCCAUCAUCUACUACCUUCUGCUCAGCUACAGGAGUGCAAAUCAGCAGCCUCUUGUCUGGAGCAACAGUGCUGUCAAAUGAUGAAACAUGUCUCUGUCCCAUGGAGAGAAAAGAUGGAGCUGACCUCAGAUAGGAGCCAUCUCCACACUGGUGACCUGUGACCACUGACCCCAGCUGAGUUUCCCAUACUUCUGGGCCUUCUGAAGAGCCCAGCCCCUCCCACAGCUGCUCACAUAGCAACGGAGCAAAGCAGAGGGUCUGCAGGGGCCGUCAGCACUGUGUGGAGAUAGAUACUAAUGACUUUGGAUGGGUGCUGAGCAGCAGAUCUGGGGGGGCUGCAGCGACACACACACCUCCUCCGAAAGGUCAGUGGUACAUGGGGCUUGACCCCACAUUCCUGGUGCAUCCCUGACCCCUGCUGCAGUCAAUCAGACCUAUUCUGUGGCACCAUUAACUUAGAAGAUUUAUGUGCUCCGGGCAGUGGGAGGAGAGCUCGAUUUCAUUUCCAGCAUAGCUCUUUGCUUUCCUACCCACAUUCACGCUAAUGAUAACAGACGUGGAUUCAGCUUGAGUAGCCAGGGAAACAGCUCAAGCCUGACUCUGCUCCCAAGCAGAUGUGAACUACUGACUUAUUCUUUAACGAAGUUGUUGACAACUAAUGGUCUAAUGGGGGGGAGGCAAUUGAUUUUGGAUAACAUUUUAAAACUGCAGACUCAGCUCAACAAUUUAUAACCCUGGUGGUGGUUUAUUGCUUUGGCAGAGUUAAGUGGAUUGAGUGGCCAUAAACUUCCACCA
rnacentral:lncRNA from 1 species